rnacentral:rRNA from 1 species
UACAGAGGUCCCGAGCGUUGUUCGGAUUCAUUGGGCGUAAAGGGUGCGUAGGUGGCUUGACAAGUUUGAUGUGAAAGCUCAGGGCUUAACCCUGAAAUGGCAUUGAAUACUGUCGGGCUGGAGGUAUGGAGGGGGGACUGGAAUUCUUGGUGUAGCAGUGAAAUGCGUAGAUAUCAAGAGGAACACCAGUGGCGAAGGCGAGUCCCUGGACAUCACCUGACGCUGAGGCACGAAAGCUAGGGGAGCAAACAGG